rnacentral:rRNA from 1 species
UGCACCCUACGGGAGGCAGCAGUAGGGAAUCCUCCACAAUGGACGAAAGUCUGAUGGAGCAACGCCGCGUGAGUGAAGAAGGGUUUCGGCUCGUAAAGCUCUGUUGGUAGUGGAGAAAGAUAGAGGUAGUAACUGGCCUUUAUUUGACGGUAAUUACUUAGAAAGUCACGGCUAACUACGUGCCAGCAGCCGCGGUAAUACGUAGGUGGCAAACGUUGUCCGGAUUUAUUGGGCGUAAA